UGGCUCAGGUGUGUACCGGCUCAGGUGUGCACUGGCUCAGGUGUGUACCGUGCACUGGCUCAGGCGUUCACUGGCUCAGGUGUGUACCGUGCACUGGCUCAGGUGUGCACCAGCUCAGGUGUUCACUGGCUUAGGUGUGCACCGGCUCAGAUGUGUACCAGCUCAGGUGUGCACCGGCUCAGGUGUGUACCGGCUCAGAUGUGUGCCGGCUCAGGUGUGCACUGGCUCAGGUGUGCACCAGCUCAGAUCUGAGCCAGCACAGGUCUGCAGGCUCCCACAGGUCACAACAAGAAGCAGGUGUUUCUGGGCGAGGACCUGAAGCAGCAGGCUGGGGCUGGGCCAGGUCCCACUGUGGCUGGUGGUCAGCACACCUUUGCCAGCAGGCGCCACAGCACAGGUGCCCAGCCCACAGCGGGGCGGCAGGGAAUCUGCUCCUGGAACCUGGGUUUUCUGGGCUGGCUCCCGGGGGUGUUGACUGACAGGAGAAGGCUGCAGAACAAGAAGGUCGGGUUUCAGGCUGGCAGCCUCUCCUCAAUUACAGGGAUGCUGGGGUAGGCCAGAACCCGGUGUCAGGUGGAGUAGAAGUCACGCUUCACGGGAGGCUUCUGUUUUUUAAGAAGUGCCUGUGGGCUGGGGGGUUUUUGGUCCAGAGUCUAGGGGAAGGCAAAGCUUACCAAACAGAAAGUGUCCACUCCGGGGUGGGGGACUGGGGCCUCGUCUCUCCGCUGGGCCAGGACAGGGCUGUGAGGUCCAGCUGCCUGCUCAGCUCUGGGACCUGUCCUCCUGCAGGAGCCCACGGCCGUGAACAUGCACACGGGCAGAUCCACAUGUCCCCCGAGGAAAAAGAGAGGGUCAAGGUUGAGUGUGUGGGUGCUAGGGGGUGCAGAACUCACUUCUAACUAUGAGGGUUGAGGCGGGCUUCACAGGGGAGGUGGGUUUUGAGCCAGGCCUGCAGCCCGGCAUCUGGAAGUGGCUUCCAGGCUCUCCCUGAGCUCUCUCCUGCAGGACACCCCUGCCUGCAGAUCUGCACCCCCAGCUCCUUCCUGGGGACUUGAUAUCAUGACCCUGCCUGGCACCCCAGGGGUGAAUGCUGCACCCAGCCCUGAGGGUUUCCAUCUGCUGGGGGCAUCUG
rnacentral:lncRNA from 1 species